rnacentral:rRNA from 1 species
CCUACGGGUGACAGCAGUGAGGAAUAUUCGUCAAUGGGCGCGAGCCUGAACCAGCCAAGCCGCGUGAAGGAUGACUGCCCUACGGGUUGUAAACUUCUUUUUUAAAGGAAUAAAGUGAGGCACGUGUGCCUGCUUGUAUGGACUUUAUGUAUAAGGAUAGGCUAACUCCGUGCCAGCAGCCGCGGUAAUACGGAGGAUCCGAGCGUUAUCCGGAUUUAUUGGGUUUAAAGGGAGCGUAGAUGGGUUGUUAAGUCAGUUGUGAAAGUUCGCGGCUCAACCGUAAAAUUGCAUUUGAUACUGGCAGCCUUGAGUGCAGGUGAGGUAGGUGGAAUUCCUUGUGUAGCGGUGAAAUGCUUAGAUAUCACGAAGAACUCCGAUUGCGAAGGCAGCCUUCUAAACUGCCACUGACACUGAUGUGCGAAAGCGUGGGGAUCAAACAGGAUUAGAUACCCGAGUAGUC